rfam:Ornithorhynchus anatinus chromosome 4, whole genome shotgun sequence.
ACCCCCUCAGGAUCGUGCCUGGAGAGUUUCCAGUACUCUACCGGUUUCGACUGCGAUAGGAAGAGUCAAGCAGAGGCCUAUCCAUUCCAUUUCUAGCUUGGACAGUGGCUAGCGAAUGGAAGGCCAUCUGCUACGAGU